UAAUAAUGGUGUUGCCAGAAG
rnacentral:piRNA from 1 species